rnacentral:rRNA from 1 species
CACGGUGGAUGCCUUGGCACUAGAAGCCGAUGAAGGACGUUACUAACGACGAUAUGCUUUGGGGAGCUGUAAGUAAGCUUUGAUCCAGAGAUUUCCGAAUGGGGAAACCCAGCAUGAGUUAUGUCAUGUUAUCGAUAUGUGAAUACAUAGCAUAUCAGAAGGCACACCCGGAGAACUGAAACAUCUUAGUAACCGGAGGAAGAGAAAGAAAAUUCGAUUCCCUUAGUAGCGGCGAGCGAAACGGGAAGAGCCCAAACCAACAAGCUUGCUUGUUGGGGUUGUAGGACACUCUAUACGGAGUUACAAAGGACGACAUUAGACGAAUCAUCUGGAAAGAUGAAUCAAAGAAGGUAAUAAUCCUGUAGUCGAAAAUGUUGUCUCUCUUGAGUGGAUCCUGAGUACGACGGAGCACGUGAAAUUCCGUCGGAAUCUGGGAGGACCAUCUCCUAAGGCUAAAUACUCUCUAGUGACCGAUAGUGAACCAGUACCGUGAGGGAAAGGUGAAAAGCACCCCGGAAGGGGAGUGAAAUAGAACCUGAAACCGUGUGCUUACAAGUAGUCAGAGCCCGUUAAUGGGUGAUGGCGUGCCUUUUGUAGAAUGAACCGGCGAGUUACGAUUUGAUGCAAGGUUAAGCAGUAAAUGUGGAGCCGUAGCGAAAGCGAGUCUGAAUAGGGCGUUUAGUAUUUGGUCGUAGACCCGAAACCAGGUGAUCUACCCUUGGUCAGGUUGAAGUUCAGGUAACACUGAAUGGAGGACCGAACCGACUUACGUUGAAAAGUGAGCGGAUGAACUGAGGGUAGCGGAGAAAUUCCAAUCGAACCUGGAGAUAGCUGGUUCUCUCCGAAAUAGCUUUAGGGCUAGCCUCAAGUGAUGAUUAUUGGAGGUAGAGCACUGUUUGGACGAGGGGCCCCUCUCGGGUUACCGAAUUCAGACAAACUCCGAAUGCCAAUUAAUUUAACUUGGGAGUCAGAACAUGGGUGAUAAGGUCCGUGUUCGAAAGGGAAACAGCCCAGACCACCAGCUAAGGUCCCAAAAUAUAUGUUAAGUGGAAAAGGAUGUGGCGUUGCCCAGACAACUAGGAUGUUGGCUUAGAAGCAGCCAUCAUUUAAAGAGUGCGUAAUAGCUCACUAGUCGAGUGACACUGCGCCGAAAAUGUACCGGGGCUAAACAUAUUACCGAAGCUGUGGAUUGUCCUUUGGACAAUGGUAGGAGAGCGUUCUAAGGGCGUUGAAGCAUGAUCGUAAGGACAUGUGGAGCGCUUAGAAGUGAGAAUGCCGGUGUGAGUAGCGAAAGACGGGUGAGAAUCCCGUCCACCGAUUGACUAAGGUUUCCAGAGGAAGGCUCGUCCGCUCUGGGUUAGUCGGGUCCUAAGCUGAGGCCGACAGGCGUAGGCGAUGGAUAACAGGUUGAUAUUCCUGUACCACCUAUAAUCGUUUUAAUCGAUGGGGGGACGCAGUAGGAUAGGCGAAGCGUGCGAUUGGAUUGCACGUCUAAGCAGUAAGGCUGAGUAUUAGGCAAAUCCGGUACUCGUUAAGGCUGAGCUGUGAUGGGGAGAAGACAUUGUGUCUUCGAGUCGUUGAUUUCACACUGCCGAGAAAAGCCUCUAGAUAGAAAAUAGGUGCCCGUACCGCAAACCGACACAGGUAGUCAAGAUGAGAAUUCUAAGGUGAGCGAGCGAACUCUCGUUAAGGAACUCGGCAAAAUGACCCCGUAACUUCGGGAGAAGGGGUGCUCUUUAGGGUUAACGCCCAGAAGAGCCGCAGUGAAUAGGCCCAAGCGACUGUUUAUCAAAAACACAGGUCUCUGCUAAACCGUAAGGUGAUGUAUAGGGGCUGACGCCUGCCCGGUGCUGGAAGGUUAAGAGGAGUGGUUAGCUUCUGCGAAGCUACGAAUCGAAGCCCCAGUAAACGGCGGCCGUAACUAUAACGGUCCUAAGGUAGCGAAAUUCCUUGUCGGGUAAGUUCCGACCCGCACGAAAGGCGUAACGAUUUGGGCACUGUCUCAACGAGAGACUCGGUGAAAUCAUAGUACCUGUGAAGAUGCAGGUUACCCGCGACAGGACGGAAAGACCCCGUGGAGCUUUACUGUAGCCUGAUAUUGAAAUUCGGCACAGCUUGUACAGGAUAGGUAGGAGCCUUUGAAACGUGAGCGCUAGCUUACGUGGAGGCGCUGGUGGG